AGAAUCAACGCUGGCGGCGUGCCUAACACAUGCAAGUCGCACGAGAAAGGGGAGCAAUCCCUGAGUACAGUGGCGCACGGGUGAGUAACACGUGAAUGAUCUACCUCCGAGUGGGGGAAUAACUGAGAGAAAUCUUAGCUAAUACCGCAUAAUACCCACGGGUCAAAGCAGCAAUGCGCUUGGAGAGGAGUUCGCGGCAGAUUAGUUAGUUGGCGGGGUAAUGGCCCACCAAGACGAUGAUCUGUAUCCGGCCUGAGAGGGCGCACGGACACACUGGAACUGAAACACGGUCCAGACUCCUACGGGAGGCAGCAGUGGGGAAUUUUGCGCAAUGGGGGAAACCCUGACGCAGCAACGCCGCGUGGAGGAUGAAGCCCCUUGGGGUCGUAAACUCCUUUCGAUCGGGAAGAUAAUGACGGUACCGAUAUAAGAAGCCCGGCUAACUUCGCGCCAGCAGCCGC
rnacentral:rRNA from 1 species